rnacentral:rRNA from 1 species
CGUGUAGGCGGUUUGGCAAGUCAGAUGUGAAAGCCCUGGGCUCAACUCAGGAAGUGCAUUUGAAACUGCCAUUCUAGAGUAUGGGAGAGGAGAGUGGAAUUCCCAGUGUAGAGGUGAAAUUCGUAGAUAUUGGGAGGAACACCCGUGGCGAAGGCGACUCUCUGGACCAAUACUGACGCUGAGACGCGAAAGCGUGGGGAGCAAACA